ensembl:lncRNA
CUUCUCACCCCUGCACACCACCACCCCCCGCCUCAAAAGCCACUGGCUGAAGUCUGACAUUGGCUUGAAUCGCACAGUCAGAUCCAAACUUUUAAACAAACCACUGUGCAGAUAUUAACUUCCCCGGGCUCCUGAGAACACAAUCCAGACCUGCUGGACGUGAGGCGAGAUCCCGUAUCUGGAGGCAGAGACGACUUGGGACUGCAGAGUGCACUCAGACACUGAGUUGACCAGCGGUCCCCGCCAGCCCCGAGCUGAGUCCACUCUCUGGCUCUUUCGCCUCCAUGACCUUCCCCAGGAGAAAAAAACAAUUCCUGCCUUUAAUAUUCACAUCAGCUUCUGUGGGUCAUAAGACAAGGGCAGUCUGAGUUUUCAGGAUCUUCACAGGCCCGGAGCAUCAUCUUCUAUUGAUUCUUGUAAGAGCAGAUGACGGCAGCUCAAGAAGAAACAGCUUUGAAUCCUGCUCCAGCAGUCAGAUCAGGCUACCAGGAAAGAGAAAAAUAAGUGAAAACCUGUUUUCAUUGCCUCCUGGACCAAAGUGGGAGAGAGGAAGAGAGGCCCACCAGAGGUGAGGAAACUGAGGCUCAUAGAAACACAGAGUAAGUGGAGAACCAGGAUAACAGUGGGAGAUUGAGCAGCCAGUCUGAGAUGGAAGAAACAGUUGGAGGAAAAUUGCUUUAUGAUGUUGGUUUGUUUUCUGCCGUAAAAUGACACAUAUCAGCCAUAAAUAUAUGUGCAUCCCCAUGGAAUUUUAAUUUCUCACACAAUUUUUCAGAUACUAGGAGAAGAGGAAACAGCAUAACUCAUCUUUUAUGCAAAUAAAAUCUUGAAGUCAAAAGCAGAUGAAGAUGAGAUGAGAAAGGAAGCUUCAGGCCAGAGGAGUGAGUCACACUGAGAACUGAUGUGUGUCCAUGCAGAGGUUGAAUUCCAUGGUGACCUUGCCUUUCAACUAAAAUCAAGCCAUGCUGCUGCUGAGUCGCUUCAGUCGUGUCCGACUCUGUGCGACCCCAUAGACGGCAGCCCACCAGGCUCCCCCAGCCCUGGGAUUCUCCAGGCAAGAACACUGGAGUGGGUUGCAAUUUCCUUCUCCAGUAAAUCAAGCCAUAUUUUACAUUAAAAUCUUUCUCAUCCUUCCCCUUUUACAUUGUGAUUUAUGGUAAGACCCUUCCAUUAACACCUGAUAAACU